CUCAAGACUAAGCCAUGCAUGUCCAAGUAUGAACGCUUCGUACUGUGAAACUGCGAAUGGCUCAUUAAAUCAGUUAUAGUUUAUUUGAUGGUUGCUUGCUACAUGGAUAACCGUGGUAAUUCUAGAGCUAAUACAUGCACAGAGUCCCGACUUCCGGGAGGGACGUAUUUAUUAGAUCCAAAACCAGCGCGGGUCUCCCUUCGGGGUGCCCGGUCCCUGGGCGAUUCAUGAUAACUGCUCGAAUCGCACGGCCCUGGCGCCGGCGAUGGUCCAUUCAAAUUUCUGCCCUAUCAACUUUCGAUGGUACGGUAGUGGCCUACCAUGGUUGCAACGGGUGACGGAGAAUUAGGGUUCGAUUCCGGAGAGGGAGCCUGAGAAACGGCUACCACAUCCAAGGAAGGCAGCAGGCGCGCAAAUUACCCAAUCCCGACUCGGGGAGGUAGUGACAAUAAAUAACAAUGCCGGGCUCUCGUAGUCUGGCAAUUGGAAUGAGUCCAAUCUAAACCCCUUAACGAGGAACAAUUGGAGGGCAAGUCUGGUGCCAGCAGCCGCGGUAAUUCCAGCUCCAAUAGCGUAUAUUAAAGUUGUUGCAGUUAAAAAGCUCGUAGUUGGAUUUCGGGGCGGCCCGGCCGGUCCGCCGCGAGGCGAGCACUGGUCGGGCGCCCUUCCUCUCGAAGGCUUCGACUGCUCUUGAUUGCGGUGGUCGAGGAGUUCGGGACGUUUACUUUGAAAAAAUUAGAGUGUUCAAGGCAGGCCGUCGCCUGAAUACAUUAGCAUGGAAUAAUGGAAGAGGACCUCGGUCCUAUUUUGUUGGUUUCCAGGGCCGAAGUAAUGAUUAAGAGGGACAGUUGGGGGCAUUCGUAUUCAAUUGUCAGAGGUGAAAUUCUCGGAUUUAUGGAAGACGAACAAGUGCGAAAGCAUUUGCCAAGGAUGUUUUCAUUAAUCAAGAACGAAAGUUGGGGGUUCGA
rnacentral:rRNA from 1 species